UUCAUCGUGGACCAAUUGGUCGCCCUCUUCUCCUGGAUAAUUAUAUUCGUAUGCCGAGAGAGGCGGAGGUUCGAGUCCUCCCGAUGGCA